GAUGAACGCUGGCGGCGUGCCUAAUACAUGCAAGUCGAGCGAACGGACGAGAAGCUUGCUUCUCUGAUGUUAGCGGCGGACGGGUGAGUAACACGUGGAUAACCUACCUAUAAGACUGGGAUAACUUCGGGAAACCGGAGCUAAUACCGGAUAAUAUUUUGAACCGCAUGGUUCAAAAGUAAAAGACGGUCUUGCUGUCACUUAUAGAUGGAUCCGCGCUGCAUUAGCUAGUUGGUAAGGUAACGGCUUACCAAGGCAACGAUGCAUAGCCGACCUGAGAGGGUGAUCGGCCACACUGGAACUGAGACACGGUCCAGACUCCUACGGGAGGCAGCAGUAGGGAAUCUUCCGCAAUGGGCGAAAGCCUGACGGAGCAACGCCGCGUGAGUGAUGAAGGUCUUCGGAUCGUAAAACUCUGUUAUUAGGGAAGAAUAUAUGUGUAAGUAACUGUGCACAUCUUGACGGUACCUAAUCAGAAAGCCACGGCUAACUACGUGCCAGCAGCCGCGGUAAUACGUAGGUGGCAAGCGUUAUCCGGAAUUAUUGGGCGUAAAGCGCGCGUAGGCGGUUUUUUAAGUCUGAUGUGAAAGCCCACGGCUCAACCGUGGAGGGUCAUUGGAAACUGGAAAACUUGAGUGCAGAAGAGGAAAGUGGAAUUCCAUGUGUAGCGGUGAAAUGCGCAGAGAUAUGGAGGAACACCAGUGGCGAAGGCGACUUUCUGGUCUGUAACUGACGCUGAUGUGCGAAAGCGUGGGGAUCAAACAGGAUUAGAUACCCUGGUAGUCCACGCCGUAAACGAUGAGUGCUAAGUGUUAGGGGGUUUCCGCCCCUUAGUGCUGCAGCUAACGCAUUAAGCACUCCGCCUGGGGAGUACGACCGCAAGCUUGAAACUCAAAGGAAUUGACGGGGACCCGCACAAGCGGUGGAGCAUGUGGUUUAAUUCGAAGCAACGCGAAGAACCUUACCAAAUCUUGACAUCCUUUGACAACUCUAGAGAUAGAGCCUUCCCCUUCGGGGGACAAAGUGACAGGUGGUGCAUGGUUGUCGUCAGCUCGUGUCGUGAGAUGUUGGGUUAAGUCCCGCAACGAGCGCAACCCUUAAGCUUAGUUGCCAUCAUUAAGUUGGGCACUCUAAGUUGACUGCCGGUGACAAACCGGAGGAAGGUGGGGAUGACGUCAAAUCAUCAUGCCCCUUAUGAUUUGGGCUACACACGUGCUACAAUGGACAAUACAAAGGGCAGCGAAACCGCGAGGUCAAGCAAAUCCCAUAAAGUUGUUCUCAGUUCGGAUUGUAGUCUGCAACUCGACUACACGAAGCUGGAAUCGCUAGUAAUCGUAGAUCAGCAUGCUACGGUGAAUACGUUCCCGGGUCU
rnacentral:rRNA from 1 species